AUGGUCCUAUCGGUGUGGAAGGUGUGGGCUCCUCCGCGGUGCAAAUUUUUCGCAUGGCUUGUACUUCAAGAUAGAAUCUGGACAUCGGACCGCCUUGCUCGACGUGGGUGGCCCAACUGCGAGCUAUGCCCGCUUUGCAAGCAAAGCCCAGAGACGGCAGCCCACUUACUGUUCCAAUGUCGCUACACCCUUCGUGUGUGGAACGAUAUUCUUCGCUGGCUUGGCAUGGAUCACACUCAGGCUACUACUUGGUCAGCGAGGAGCUCGGUGUGGGAAUGGUGGAAUGGAAACGUAUAUCUUCGUUCUGAUCCCCCAAGACGCUCGCCUCACUAA
rnacentral:rRNA from 1 species